rnacentral:rRNA from 1 species
GAUGAACGCUGGCGGCGUGCCUAAUACAUGCAAGUCGAGCGAACAGACGAGGAGCUUGCUCCUCUGACGUUAGCGGCGGACGGGUGAGUAACACGUGGAUAACCUACCUAUAAGACUGGGAUAACUUCGGGAAACCGGAGCUAAUACCGGAUAAUAUAUUGAACCGCAUGGUUCAAUAGUGAAAGACGGUUUUGCUGUCACUUAUAGAUGGAUCCGCGCCGCAUUAGCUAGUUGGUAAGGUAACGGCUUACCAAGGCAACGAUGCGUAGCCGACCUGAGAGGGUGAUCGGCCACACUGGAACUGAGACACGGUCCAGACUCCUACGGGAGGCAGCAGUAGGGAAUCUUCCGCAAUGGGCGAAAGCCUGACGGAGCAACGCCGCGUGAGUGAUGAAGGUCUUCGGAUCGUAAAACUCUGUUAUUAGGGAAGAAAAAAUGUGUAAGUAACUAUGCACGUCUUGUCGGUACCUAAUCAGAAAGCCACGGCUAACUACGUG